UUUCUUCAGACUGAUGAGGCCGUCCUGUUCACAGCUCAGACCAGAACACCGACUGACACCAGCGGGUUUUAUUGCUGUACAUGUAUUUAUAAAACAUUGGGAAGAGAAUACUUAUGAAACAACACACAUACACAUACAUACAUACUUGUUUUUUUUUCAUUUCACAAUCACGUAGGUUUGGAAGGUAAAAUAUACAGCAUGGUAUGUUACGUACAAAAGAGAAAGAUGGUAAUAAAUAAAUAAAACAACACCAGUGAACGCCAGUUAGAGAGCCCAUCCUCAGGGCCUGGACCAGGACCAGGACCAGGGCCUGGACCAGGACCAGGACCAGGACCAGGGACCAGGACCAGGACCAGAACCAGAACUCUGACCAGGGACCAGGACCAGGGUCCAGGGACCAGGGACCAGGACCAGGACCAGGGACCAGGACCAGGGAUCAGGACUCUGACCAGGACAAGGGACCAGGAACAGGACCAGGACCAGGACCAGGACUCUGACCAGGGACCAGGACUCUGACCAGGACUCUGACCAGGACCAGGACUCUGACCAGGGACCAGGACUCUGACCAGUGACCAGGACUCUGCCGCGGCUGAAGCACAGCAGGGGUGAGGCUGGGAGGUUGAGGAGGAGGAGGAGUUGUGGGAGGGGGCAGAGGGACACAAUGCUUGCACACCUGGAUGCCUGGCAGUACUCUUGUCUGAUCUGUCCGCACACUGGGGCGGGGCAUAGGGUGGGGGGGGGAAGGUGAGGGUAGGGGGUAUACCCUGGGUUGGGACUGCACUGAGUCACAGUGAGUCAUAGUGAGUCACACUGCACUGAGUCACAGUGCAGUGAGUCACAGUGCAGUGAGUCACCAUGAGUCACAGUGCAGUGAGUUACAGUGAGUUACAGUGAGUCACAGUGAGUCACAGUGAGUCACAGUGCAGCGAGUCACAGUGAGUCACAGUGCAGUGAGUCACAGUGCAGUGAGUCACAGUGAGUCACAGUGAGUCACAAUGCAGUGAGUCACAGUGAGUCACAGUGCAGUGAGUCACAGUGCAGUGAGUCACAGUGAGUCACAGUGCAGUGAGUCAUAGUGAGUCACAGUGCAGUGAGUUACAUUGCAGUGAGUCACCAUGAGUCACAGUGCAGUGAGUUAAAGUGCACUGAGUCACAGUGAGUCACAGUGCAGUGAGUCACAGUGAGUCACAAUGCAGUGAGUCACAGUACAGUGAGGGUCCAGUGAGAAGGGUAGGAAGAUGAUGAAGGAGAAGAGGCUCCUCCCACAACGUCUGUCUUAUAAAGAGUCCUUGUGGCGACUCGUCAUGCGGGUUGUAAAAGCUCGGAGGUCGUCGUCUUCCUAUUUUUUUUGUUAUUUUCAAACACCGUAUAAAACUGUCUCCUUCUAUCGGAACAACCGCACAAACACAACAAGAUACACAAGCAGACCCACACAACCCUGAUUCUCUUUUCUGUUUCAGGACCACUGGAAACAAACAGGCUAUGCCUGGUGGGUCUAUCAGGAUGAAACGAUGGAUUAGCUUACUAUUGGUUUCUAUCAGUAGAGGAUAGCGAGAUUUUCUUUGUAUUUUUUUUGCAUUGCAACUUCUCCCAUGCAGCCCUACUCAAAGUACACGGUCUAAAUCAGAAAGGGUGGACAAAGUCGACCUUAAAGAUGAACGAUUGAUAAUAUGGCAAACACAACUCUUCUAGACAAAGCCUUCAUGGUGGCAGGCUGGUUCAUUCCUCACAGCCUGAGACUCUGCCUGUUGGUGCACACAGUGAAACAACAGGGUUAGACUCAUCUCAGUAUAAUAUGCUCUGCCACACUCGCUGUACUGGUCUGAUGUGGGGCCCACUGGGCUUCCACUUUACAUUUUGGUUUCAACACCCCCCCUCUUCUGUUGUUCACACAAAGCGUUCAGCGAUACUGUGGAAUCAAUUGGUCUGAUCGGGGUGCUCAGUGACAAAGAGCGAUCAAUAGCAGCCAGUGAAGCUGAGCAGGGCUUGAAUUUCGCACUAAUAUUCAGAGAGAGACCGUCCCCUGCUCAUUACACAAGUCACCCCCCUCACCCCCAUAGCUCCACCACGUGCAACAGAACCCCCUGAACCCUGGUCCCACAGAACCAACAUAUCAGAAAGAAAGAUUUCAAUAGAGAAUAAAGAGUUUUGUAUCAAUAGACAAUCAUUCUAAAAAAGAUAUACACAUUAUAAAAUAGACAUCUUCAGCGUUCUCUAGAGAGUCAUUAAAAUCUUCUGUUCCACUUUCCACCUUCAUAGAUGAUCUGGUUCCUCUGUCUGGUUCCUUCACAGGUGAUCUGGUUCCUCUGUCUGGUUCCUUCACAGGUGAUCUGGUUCCUCUGUCUGGUUCCUUCACAGGUGAUCUGGUUCCUCUGUCUGGUUCCUUCACAGGUGAUCUGGUUCCUCUGUCUGGUUCCUUCACAGGUGAUCUGGUUCCUCUGUCUGGUUCCUUCACAGGUGAUCUGGUUCCUCUGAUCACCUGCGCUUGUAUCUCUUCAGCUUAAACAGGAACAAUCUAUUUACAGGGUGGUUACCACGGAGACGCCUUGGAGCCGGUCUGGUCCAAUAGGAGGGCGGUGGGUUUGGAGUGGGGGGGACGAGGAGAAGGCCAAAGGUCACGAUGGGGAGCCCCGUCAGUGUUCUGGAGGUUCAGGAGGAGGUGCCAAGACCCCCCCAGACCACCCAGAUCUCCCCAGACCCCCACGGCCACAUCAAAUAAUUGCAUACAUGUCUUUUUUUAAUAGCUAUGACCAGGUACUACUACUCAUCAGUUUCUGAUUGGUAUUGUCUCACUGAGCUGGCCCCCACAGCCCUGAGGUCCUCCAGCAGGCUGCAGUUCACUUACCGACCAGAGGGGGCAGUGACGAGGAGGAGGUCCUGAUUCUUACACAGAGUGCCUUUAAUGUAAUCAGUUGGUUUUUCAUUGUAUUGGUCUUUAUGUCAUCUUUUGUAGCACAGGUCCAACGGGCAUAGGCUUGUCCGGCAGUAUGGAUUGUGGCCCACAGGCUAAAGGCUAACCCUAGCCUUUGCUGUAGAAAGUGCUGUGUGCACCAUGUGUGUUGCUGGAGCUAGCCAUGCUAGCUGGCCAUGCUAGCUAGCCAUGCUAGUUUCCCACAUGUCUAACUGCAUGUCACUUUGGCAGAGCCUGAGGCUCUGCUGUAACUACAGCACAAACCACAGGGUUCCCUUAAGACGGCACUUAAAGUUAGGUGCAGUAGUGGUGGAGGAGGUGGAGGAGGUGGAGGUGGAGGAGGAGGUGGAGGAGGGGCUGUAGGUGGAGAUUGAGGUGGAGGAGGUGGAGGAGGAGGGGGAGGUGAAGGAGGCGGAGAUAAAGGUGGAGGUGGUGGAGGUGGUGGAGGAGGUGGAGGUGGAGGAGGUGGUAGUGACCGCCCAGCUCAUGGACCUCUGGAUGAGGGCCCGCCCCCCUCAGACCGCUGGCCUCUGGGGGGGGCGGGCGGGUCUGGAGGGGCUCAUGGUCUGGGGGAGGCCCCGGUCCGGUCCAAGCGUCAGCGCGGGUCACCUCCGAGAGACGGCGCCAUCACCACACACGGGGGCGGCGAUGGGGGGUCUCCUGCAGGCCUCUGCCGUCACGAGGAGCCAUUCCUAUUGGCCCAGAGCAGCUCGGGGGUUAGGGGCGGGGCCUGGGGGGGUGGGCGGGGCCUCCAGUCCCCCCGCCCCUCGCACUGUGCCCGCCUCCAGUUGAGCAGCUCCCCCAGCGGGGGCGUGUCCCGCCCACAUGGCCCGCGGAGCCGCUGGAUCAGCUGGGGGGGACAGAGGAGGAGUUAGAGGCUGAUGGGACGUCCUGACAGACACACAGUGGGGG
ensembl:lncRNA